rnacentral:rRNA from 2 species
AGGGAAGUAAAAGUCGUAACAAGGUUUCCGUAGGUGAACCUGCGGAAGGAUCAUUACCGAGUUGGCCGACGCCCCGCGUCCCGAUUCCACCCUUGAUGUACCGAACCACUGUUGCUUUGGCCGGCCCCCGGGCCGGCCAGAGGCCCCCAAACCCCGGAAUCCGUGCCGUCUGAGUACCACGCAAUCGCGAAAAACUUUCAACAACGGAUCUCUUGGUUCCGGCAUCGAUGAAGAACGCAGCGAAAUGCGAUAAGUAAUGUGAAUUGCAGAAUUCCGUGAAUCAUCGAAUCUUUGAACGCACAUUGCGCCCCCUGGCUUUCCAGGGGGCAUGCCUGUUCGAGCGUCAUUACAACCCUCAAGCCCCGGCUUGGUCUUGGGCCCGCCAUCCAUGGCCCGCCUCAAACGCAGUGGCGGCCCCGUCCAGUCUCAAGCGUAGUACUACUCGUCGCUUGUCGGGCUCGGGCGGCGGCCGGCCAGCAAGCCCCUCACACACCAGGUUGACCUCGGAUCAGGUAGGGAUACAGGCUGAACUUAAGCAUAU